UGAACGCUAGCGGCAGGCCUAAUACAUGCAAGUCGAACGGUAACAUGAGAGCUUGCUCUUGAUGACGAGUGGCGCACGGGUGCGUAACGCGUAUGCAACCUACCCUUUACUGGGGGAUAGCCCGGAGAAAUUCGGAUUAAUACCCCAUAGUACUAUGUUAUAGCAUUAUAUAAUAGUUAAAGAUUUAUUGGUAAAGGAUGGGCAUGCGUGACAUUAGUUAGUUGGUAAGGUAACGGCUUACCAAGACGAUGAUGUCUAGGGGUUCUGAGAGGAAGAUCCCCCACACUGGUACUGAGACACGGACCAGACUCCUACGGGAGGCAGCAGUAGGGAAUAUUGGUCAAUGGACGAGAGUCUGAACCAGCCAUGCCGCGUGCAGGAAGACGGCCUUCUGGGUUGUAAACUGCUUUUAUAUAGGAACAAAGAGACCAUGCGUGGUAAGUUGAGUGUACUAUAUGAAUAAGCACCGGCUAACUCC
rnacentral:rRNA from 1 species